ACUACGGGAUGCAGCAGUGAGGAAUAUUGGUCAAUGGCCGGAAGUCUGAACCAGCCAUGCCGCGUGAAGGUCAGUGCCCUAUGGGCGUUAAACUUCUUUUGUGCGGGAGCAAUAAUGGUCACGUGUGGCCAGACGAGAGUACCGUACGAAUAAGCAUCGGCUAACUCCGUGCCAGCAGCAGCGGUAAUACGGGGGUUGCAAGCGUUAUCCGGAUUUAUUGGGUUGAAAGGAUGCGUAGGCUGUGAGGUAAGUCAUCGUUGAAAUGCCCCCGCUCAACGGGGUGAAGUGCCAUUGAUCCCGCCUUGCGGGAAUGCGGAUGCAGUGGGAGGCAUGUGUGGUGUAGCCGUGAAAUGCAUAGAUAUCACACAGAACACCGAUUGAGAAGGCAUCUCACGAAGCCGCGAUUGACGCUGAUGCACGAAAGCGUGGGUAUCAAACAGGAUUAGAGACCCCGGUAGUC
rnacentral:rRNA from 1 species